rnacentral:rRNA from 1 species
UACAGGGGGUGCAAGCGUUGUUCGGAAUCACUGGGCGUAAAGAGUUCGUAGGCGGACCAAUUAGUACAGGGUUAAAUCCCGGGGCCUAACCCCGGGAUCUGCUCUGUAAACGGUUGGUCUAGAGUAUUGGAGAGGAGUAGCGGAAUUCCAGGUGUAGAGGUGAAAUUCGUAGAUAUCUGGAGGAACACCUGAGGCGAAGGC